UCUCUACACAUCAAUAAGAGAUCGUCAACACAAGAAGAGCACCAUUGAAUUUGGCAUGUCAGAAAAUGAUAGUACAAUUGGACAAGAGUUGAUGUACGACAUGAGUUCAUUCAUAUAAAACACACCAGAGGUGCUUUCGUGCUGUGCAUUUGAGAAAAACCAGUGGGUUUCAUAUCCCAGAUUAGAGAAACGUCAUUGAGUGCAGCGUUGAUGAAGUUCAGUUUCCUGCUUUUUUUGGUAAUUCUUUGCAAUCUUAUAUCGACUAAUCUAGGCCAUGAGAUAUAGGACAAUUUCAUCAGCGCUGCACCCAAUUAUGUUUCCGACCGUUUUGGGACAAACUCAAAAUACAGGACCCUGUUUGGCUUUUUCUGAUCUCUUCUAUCUUCUUCAUUUUUUUUGGUCCUUUUCUUGUGCUAAUGCUCGGAACUCAGACGCAGCCCAUAUUUCUUCAUGGAGUCAAAAUAUCUGCUUCCUUUUUCAUUUUCUAGCAUGCAAAAUUUUCAUUCAUAUCCCAUAACCCAUUUCCUUCAACAUUAUUAGCUACAUAGUUAUUAUCGCUUCAAAAUGUCCCAUUGCCAAUGAUCCACAACCAAUCCAGUGAAACCCCUGCAGAUAUGCCUGCUAAAAGGGACAACACAAGCAAAUUACCCAACGCAUUUUGCUCUGGUCCCUGCAAAAAUUCAUCAAAAUUAGCUUCCAUUUCAUGACCAAGUGAUAGUGAUGGACUAUGUAAAAAAAACUAAAAAACGCCGACCUUGUAGCCUUUAGGCGCUGCUGUAAGUACACAGACAGUGAGAUAACCAUUUGACAAGCCCAAGAUGGAAAGGAGCAUUAGCAUCCAACCCUGGUCACCAUAUUUUGCAGUGAAGUAGAAUGCUGGAAUGAGCAAGAAACGAGAAAGAAUUGUAAUCAUAAGGCCUUUUCUCCACACCAACUUCACGCUUUCCACAAGUGGGAUGUAUCUUCCUAUUAAAUCAAACACGUUGUACGUUGCGAUCAGAACAAGUGGGUACCUGAAAGAGACAUCCAUGUCAAAAGCUAAUCUUGAUUAUAUGUGUAUAUAUAUAUAUAUAUAUAUAGUCUUACCCUUAUUCACGAUCGUAAUUCUGGACAAAAUUGUUGUCCAAAAGCCAUCAUGCGCUUAUAUGCGCAUAUGUAUGUCUAGGAUGCUAUAUAUAAGAGAAUUUCUAUAUAUUAUAUAUGUACACUACACGUACCAUGAACCUAACUGGUGAUUUCCUGUAUUUUCGUACAAGAAACCAGGGAAAAUUGAUAGUGUCAGCACAUAUAUCAGAAAUAAAUCUAAUGCAUAAUCCCAAUUUAGUAGCAGCAACUGCUUAUUGCUCAAUCUUUGUUGUGUUUCUUCAUCUUCAAUCUGUACAAGUUUCAAAUAAGCAUAUCAGGAAUCUGAGGAUAACUUAGAAAAAACAUACUGAGCGGGGUUCAAGAGAGUUGCAGGACUAACUUGGUCUGGCUGUGUAUGGAUCCCCCCAGCAGCAAGAUCGGCCGAUACAGUUUUUGAUCCUUCAGAUGCUGCUUUUUUGCGAUAGUACUUCACUAUUGGCAAUUUAGGGAAGACAAUUGCGUAGAGUACAAGACAGAGUAACUCAAACAAUGUAGAGAUUACAAGGAACAGCACUGCAAAAGAGGGUCAUAAAAAGUAAUGUCAACAAUGGAACUUCUUGACUUUUAUUUUGAGUGUCAAAGAGCAGUUAAAACAGGGGAAUUUGCUAAAACUUUUACACAGAAUUUGAUGCUUUUGAAUGUGGCCACCGUGCAAAAACCAGGAUUAAGCAAAUAAAAUCCACUUACUGGCCCCCUUGCGAAGCCCAUCAUGAGCUUUCUCAAAAGCAGCUUUUGUGAUGAGCCUCAAAGCAGAGGUUAAAGCACCUGCUGCAGCCAAGCCAGCGAGGAAGGACUGUGAUACAUUAAAAUAUGUAACGUUAUUGCACGUCAAAAAUGGGAAAUUAGAAACAUAAGAUUUAGGAGCAUAAAAAAGAAAAGAAAAAAAGAAAAAAAGAAAACCUGUAUGAAUUCAGGUCUCAUGAAUGAUAGAUCUCCAACCAUACCACCUGUAACAAGGGCAUCAGCUACCCCAAAAGAAGCAACGAGUGCACAUAUACCUAAAUAAGGUCCAAUUCCUCCUUUCCCAGAUGUUACCAAGUCCAACUGUUAUUUGGAGCCAAAAAAGUAAAGGUAGUGAAAAAACACACUCAUAUGAUUGAAUGGAAUAGACUAGUAGAAAGUUGUGUGCUUACAACUAUUAGAAAGAAGGUACUUGCAGUGAAAAUAGCAUAUCCAGCUAAAUUCCGCUUUCUUGUAUCGAUUCUUGACUCGUUGUAUGCUAGUGUUGCCAUUGACACAAGUGCAAAUGGUUGAUAAACAAGGGUAAGUACCCUUGAAGGAUGGUAAUCCUUCAAGUAAACAGGACAAAUCUUAUCAGCAAAAAUAAUUUUAUGAAAUCCCAUUUUACACAGAUUUUUAUAUUGGGCAUAUACUGAAAGGGCAAGUAUAAUCUAUAAGAGAAAUGACAGAAUAAGAAAACAGUGUAUAUUUCUGAUCAAUAAAGUAUACCAAGGGUAUAACUCACAGGGAACACUUUGUAGUAGUAAUCUACUAUAGUCAGCAUACUGUUCCAUGAAACAAGGGACCCUAUUCCCAGAAUCCAACAUACUACCAGUGCUUUAUAUCUUCCCUGCUUAUUU